rnacentral:pre_miRNA from 1 species
CUCACACCCAUGUAUAGGACCCCAAAGGAUUACCAUUAAAUUUGGCAUAGAUCUCUAAAAAAGUUAUCACAUAGGUGUGGAACUUGACUUUUUUAGAGAUUUGUGCCAAAUUUAAUGGUGAUCCUUUGGGGUCCUACACACAUAGGUGUGGG